UUUUACGAAUUUUAGUAGCGGACGGGUGAGUAACACGUGAGAAUCUACUUUCUGGAGAGGGAUAACAUUUAGAAAUGAUUGCUAAUACCUCAUAUAUUUUUUUUAGUAAAAGGUUUAUUCCGCCAAAAAAAGAGCUCGCGGCUGAUUAGCUAGUUGGUAGGGUAAAGGCCUACCAAGGCGACGAUCAGUAUCUGGUUUGAGAGGAUGAUCAGACACAUUGGAACUGAGACACGGUCCAAACUCC
rnacentral:rRNA from 1 species